UGGGGACUCGUCCAAUGGUAGGACAGCUGAUUCUGGAUCAGUCGAUCGAGGUUCGAAUCCUCGGUCCCCAGCCA
rnacentral:tRNA from 1 species